rnacentral:tRNA from 2 species
GCGCCAUUAGCUCAGUUGGUUAGAGCAGCUGACUCUUAAUCAGCGGGUCCGGGGUUCGAGUCCCUGAUGGCGCACCG